CGCGUUGACCAGACAAUCGCUGCUUCACCUCGGUGAGGGGGAGGAAAGUCCGGGCUCCGCAGGGUAGGGUGCCAGGUAACGCCUGGGCAGUGCGUAAGCGCUGACGACUAGUGCAGCAGAGAGUAGACCGCCAAGUUCGCUUGGUAAGGGUGAAAGGGUGCGGUAAGAGCGCACCGCGUUGCUGGUAACAGACAACGGCACGGUAAACUCCACUCGGAGCAAGACCAAAUAGGUUCCCAUUAUGUGUGACCCGCGCUGGGAACGGGUAGGUUGCUUGAGCCAAUGAGCGAUUAUUGGCCUAGAUGAAUGAUUGUCCACGACAGAACCCGGCUUAUCGGUCAACACCCCUC
rnacentral:RNase_P_RNA from 1 species